AUUGAACGCUGGCGGCAUGCCUUACACAUGCAAGUCGAACGGCAGCACGGGUGCUUGCACCUGGUGGCGAGUGGCGAACGGGUGAGUAAUACAUCGGAACGUACCUCAUCGUGGGGGAUAACGCAGCGAAAGCUGUGCUAAUACCGCAUACGCCCUGAGGGGGAAAGCGGGGGAUCGAAAGACCUCGCGCGAUUAGAGCGGCCGAUGCCUGAUUAGCUUGUUGGUGGGGUAAAAGCCCACCAAGGCGACGAUCAGUAGCUGGUCUGAGAGGACGAUCAGCCACACUGGGACUGAGACACGGCCCAGACUCCUACGGGAGGCAGCAGUGGGGAAUUUUGGACAAUGGGGGCAACCCUGAUCCAGCAAUGCCGCGUGAGUGAAGAAGGCCUUCGGGUUGUAAAGCUCUUUUGUCAGGGAAGAAACACCGGCUCUAACACAGUCCGGGAAUGACGGUACCUGAAGAAUAAGCACCGGCUAAUUACGUGCCAGCAGCCGCCGCGG
rnacentral:rRNA from 1 species